GGUUAAGCGACUAAGCGUACACGGUGGAUGCCCUGGCAGUCAGAGGCGAUGAAGGACGUGCUAAUCUGCGAAAAGCGCCGGCGAGGUGAUAUGAACCUUUGACCCGGCGAUGUCCGAAUGGGGAAACCCAGUGUGAUUCGUCACACUAUCGUUAACUGAAUACAUAGGUUAACGAGGCGAACCGGGGGAACUGAAACAUCUAAGUACCCCGAGGAAAAGAAAUCAACCGAGAUUCC
rnacentral:rRNA from 1 species